rnacentral:lncRNA from 1 species
AGGAAUUCAACGAUAUAAAAAAUAAUUUAAGCAUUGUUUAAGUGAUCCCCACAGCCACAAUAUACAACUUCCAACUUGUUCCAAAUUUAUACUUGGGCCAUGAAUUUGGUUGUGUUGGGCUUCUUCUGUUCAUUAAAAGAUGGGCAGGGCCUAUCUAAUGUCUCAUCCUACAGUACAAGUACCCAUUCUUCAUCAUAAAGAUUUCCCUUACACUGUCUAGUAUAUCAUGGUAGACAAAAAUGUCUAUCACCUGCUCACAUAAAAGUGUACUCUUUCUAACAACGCAGACAAAAGUUUUAAGAUCGAAUCUCACGGCUAUAAUGUACAUGUUUUUUUUGUGCCAAUCCAAUUGAUCGGGCCUAACACAAACACAUGCCUGGGCCUCUCAACACAGAAUAGAGAAACAAUCCAGACCAACAAUAACACUUGCUUGAUUGUUUCUGCUUAAUGGCUGUAUCCUUAUCGAAUUAUAGUAAGCCAUGGUUAUCCUUCUACUCUGCACAACGCCUACAUGAGAAUUAAAUGUAGAAUUUAACAUUUAUCUUUUACAUUGAAUCUUUCUUUUUGGUCAGCUCUUUGCUGAAAGGAUCAAGAGUGGCACAUACAACAAGACACUCCAUUCAUUUCAAUUGCCGCAUUUUCUGCAGCAAAGCAAAUGAUCAUUCAUCAAUCAUCCCUCCAACUAAUCCUGCAUUUGUAGUAAUGUCCACCGCUCAACAACUAAAUCACAUUAACUCUACUCAAUCAUCCUUCAAAAAACACAAGCUUAACCUUGAUAUGCCAAAAUUUAGACUCCGGUCAAGUUCACAUUCCAUUGAUACUUGUGAUGCAUUAAUUUACUGUUGCCCAGUUGUUGCAUGGGGCGCAUUUAACAUAUUAUGUGCCACUAACAAAUUUGAUUUCCUCAAUAAGUGUAUAAAUCUGUAUAUAUAUGUGAACAUAUAUGCAUGAUAUGAUUAUGAAAACAUUGUAUGGAAAAUGAAGGAUACUUACUGAAUAGUUCGAGAUGAAAAUUAACAUUGUUAUUCUGAGUUUGAU